rnacentral:rRNA from 1 species
UCCCUUAGUACGGCGAGUGAACAGGGAUAAGCCCAGCGUGUAGGCCUGUUCACUUCCAGUGUUCAGGCGGUGCCACGUUAAUGUAAGUCUGAUUUAGGCUGCACUGUAAGUCUCGCAAGUCCCUCUGACAAGGGCCUCUAACCAGAGUGGGUGCUAGUCCCAUAGCGAUGGCGGAGGUGCAGCGCGAUCACUUACAUAAUAGAGUCAGGUUGCUUGAGAGUGCAACCUAAAGCAGGUGGUAAACUCCACCUAAGGCUAAAUAUUACUGCGAGACCGAUAGCAAACAAGUACCGUGAGGGAAAGUUGCAAAGAACUUUGAAGAGAGAGUUCAAAGGACGUGAAACCGCUUGAAGGUAAACGGGUGGACCCACGAAGUCGGUUGAAGCGAGAUUCAGUCAAUAAGCUAUGCCUGCUGUAUUGCUCGGCUCUGCUCCAGAGCAAAGUGAUGCAGUCUAAGCGUAGUCUUGUCGGCGUAUUUCUCUGUCUUCGAUGCCGGAGCUCUGACCAGCUAUAUGGUUGCAGGCAGCAGUAGCGUGUUGUCACCGUUAGAACUGUUUCUCCCGAACAGGUCUGGUGGCAGCAGUGAAUUGCCUCAACGAAACUGCUGGGUGAAUUUCUCACGUUUGUGAGUGUUCAGAUUGGGUAUGGUUGCUGUACUGUGCAAGUUAAGCAUUGAAGGUAUGAGGACUGUUCGCAAGUCUACCUUGAGAACACCUUCAUGCGCUUCGGGCUUGCUUGUGUUGUUACAGUAUACCAGAAAGAUCUAGAGCUAGUAGGUCGGUCAUCCACCUGUCCCGUCUUGAAACACGGACCAAGGAGCCUGACAUGUGCGCGAGUCAUUCGGUCUUGAAUAGGCCUGAAAGGCGAAAUAAACGUAAUUGGUAUGAUCCGGACAGUCUAGCUUGCUAGCUUACGGCGCAAUACCGGCCCGUCAAUACUGCUUGCCAGUUUGGCGGAGUUUGAGCGUACAUGUUAGUACCCGAAAGAUGGUGAUCUAUACCUGGGCAGGAUGAAGCCAGAGGAAACUCUGGUGGAAGUCCGUAGCGAUUCUGACGUGCAAAUCGAUCGUCAGACCUGGGUAUAGGGGCGAAAGACUAAUCGAACCAUCUAGUAGCUGGUUCCCUCCGAAGUUUCCCUCAGGAUAGCUGGCACUAGAAAUCUCUGUAGCAUCCGGUAAAGCUAAUGAUUAGAGGUCUUGGGGACGAAUCGUCCUCAACCUAUUCUCAAACUUUAAAUGGGUGCGAAGCUUGACUCUUGUAGCCUAACUAGAGUCAAGCAUUGUAAGAGAUGUGCUUAGUGGGCCAUUUUUGGUAAGCAGAACUGGCGCUGUGGGAUGAACYAAACGCCGGGUUAAGGCGCCCGAUGCUGACGCUCAUGAGAUCCCAUGAAAGGUGUUAGUUGCUAUAGACAGCAGGACGGUGGCCAUGGAAGUUGGAAUCCGCUAAGGAGUGUGUAACAACUCACCUGCCGAAGCAACUAGCCCUGAAAAUGGAUGGCGCUUAAGCGUUGAGCCUAUACCCGGCCGUAGUUGCAAUCUCUACAGAAAGCGACUACGAGUAGGAGGGACGCAGUGAUAGCAUAGAAGGUGUCGGGUGCGAACCCGCCUGGAGCUGUCACUGGUGCUGAUCUUGGUGGUAGUAGCAAGUACUCAAGUGAGAGCCUUGAGGACCAAUGUGGAGAAGGGUUCCAUGUGAACCAGCAGUUGAUCAUGGUCAGUCGUCCUGAGGAUGCAGAGAAUCCGUAGCCCAAGUCCCGGAUGUAUACAUACUGAAAGGUUCCGCGGCGUAUUCCGAAAGGGAAUCAGGUUAAUAUUCCUGAACCUAGCAACGGAAAUUAGCCAUUUCGGUGGCUAUAUGCGGUAACGCAAUCGAUCCUGGGGACGUUGACGAGAGCUCUGGGGAAGAGUUGUCUUUUCUUGUUAAUGGUCCUAAUCCCUGGAAUCGGCUCGCCCGGAGAGAGGGAUGAAGGCACCGAAUAGCACUGCGGCUCUUGCGGUGUCCGGAGCGCUCUCGUCGACCCUUGAAAACCUAGGUGAGAGAUAUUUUCGUGCUAGUCCGUACCAAUAUCCGCAGCAGGUCUCCAAGGUGAACAGCCUCUGGUCGCUAGAAUAAUGUAGGUAAGGGAAGUCGGCAAAGUCGAUUCGUAACUUCGGGACAAGAAUUGGCUCUGCUGGCUGAGUUGGUCGGGCUGUUGCUCGAGGCGAGUUUGUCACUGUUCCGUGACUGAGUCUGUUGGUGGGAUCUCGGUUCUGCCUUCGGGUUCGGACUAGUGUCAGUGUACUCUCGUUGAAGGCUUCAGCUAGGCCCUAAGUAGCAAGUACGUUUUUCGGAGCAGAAAACUGCUUAGGUGUCCUUUCGGCCAGCGAGAAUCAGUCAAAGCAGAACUGGCACGGACUAAGGGAAUCCGACUGUCUAAUUAAAACAAAGCAUUCCGAUGGCCAUUGAUUGGUUCUGACGCAAUGUGAAUUCUGCCCAGUGCUCUGAAUGUCAAAGUGAAGAAA